rnacentral:tRNA from 1 species
AGGGGCGUAGCUCAAUUGGCAGAGCGCUGGUCUCCAAAACCAGAGGUUGUGAGUUCGAUUCCCACCGCCCCUGCUA